UUGGCCCGUACCCCUUCGCCCCUUUCUUUUCCCCUUUGUCGUCAUCUCCAGACGGACACGAGGAGAGCGUGAGAUCUCCGGUCGCUGUCCAACCACCACGCCAACCACCCCUCUCCUCACCUGCUCCCCCUCCUUAUCAUCUCCUUCCAAACCCUAGCGCCUCCCCUUCGUCCUCCCUCCUGCCGCCGCCACUCCUCUUUCCCUCACCCUUCCUUUUCUCUCUGUGAGCAACAAAGGAGAAAACGACCACCACAGUACCUCCUCCACCUCGCCAUGGCGUCGCCGCUACAGGCCACCCCGCGUCUAUCCGUGAGUACCAGAAGAUGCGCCUCAACGUCCUCUUCAUCCCCAACCAAGGAAUUGAACCGGAACCUCUCCAAUCGCCCGCAAAUUCGCCGCUACCCAACUCCAACAGCCGGUGCACCCCCGACGCCAUCUCCCUUGCCCCGGUUUGCCUCCAGACGCCGAAGCCAUCUCCAACCAGAGCUCCUUCACGAUGACCGCCAUGGCUACUCAGUUUCAUCUCCGCCACGGGUUGGUUCAAGUUGCCCCGCGCCCUAAUCUUGUCACCAUCCGAACAGACAUCACAGUGAUCCCGCAGGCCUAGAUGGUUUUCUUUCAUGUGGCCUCUUCUAAAUCAACAAUAGCAGCUAGCUCAUCUGGUUCGUUCGGCCCAAUUCGUUGCAUGAGAUCCCGUGUUCAAUUCUUGUUGGAGGCGAAAUUACCUUGCCAGUCUUUUUCUGCUCCAGAUCCGCUGUUGGGUCUCGACCCGUGUUCCUCCCGGUGCAGCCCAUCGCGCGCGCGGCCCAAAGCUAACCGUCGCCGCUCGCAGGCCAGAA